AGUGAACGCUGGCGGUAGGCCUAACACAUGCAAGUCGAACGGCAGCACAGUAAGAGCUUGCUCUUACGGGUGGCGAGUGGCGGACGGGUGAGGAAUACAUCGGAAUCUACUUUUUCGUGGGGGAGAACGUAGGGAAACUUACGCUAAUACCGCAUACGACCUACGGGGGAAAGCAGGGGAUCUUCGGACCUUGCGCGAUUGAAUGAGCCGAUGUCGGAUUAGCUAGUUGGCGGGGUAAAGGCCCACCAAGGCGACGAUCCGUAGCUGGUCUGAGAGGAUGAUCAGCCACACUGGAACUGAGACACGGUCCAGACUCCUACGGGAGGCAGCAGUGGGGAAUAUUGGACAAUGGGCGCAAGCCUGAUCCAGCCAUACCGCGUGGGUGAAGAAGGUCUUCGGGUUGUAAAGCCCUUUUGUUGGGAAAGAAAAGCAGCAGGUUAAUACCCCGCUGUUCUGACGGUACCCAAAGAAUAAGCACCGGCUAACUUCGUG
rnacentral:rRNA from 1 species